AUAAUACAUGUAUAUGAAGUAGUAUGCAAUAAAGAACAAAUCGAUAAUAAUACUUAUCACUACAUUUGGUUAUUCAUAUCUUAAAGGACGUUGUUCAUCAAUCGACAACAUACGAGCUUAAAGAGAGUGCUUACUGUGAAUGGUAUUGUACGAAAGUAAUACAACAAUGGGACGGCACAUGUCCUGUAUAUGGGUCAUGUCGGUGGUAUUGUCAGGCAAAACGCAAAGACUGCACCCCGGGUACACGAUAUCAUUGUGCCAGAGAUUUACAUAACAAGGACUUAUUUAUUGAAGCGUGCGCACCGGAAAUAUUUUGUUUGGCAGGAGAAGAACCUCAAAUAUCUUUACAUCAGAGUGGUAAAGCCAUUGUGCUUUGCCUACCAUGUUUCCGACGAAACAUGUACAAUGGUCGCCACAACACAUCAUCGGCGGUUUUUAGUGAAUGUCCUACUAUAAAAACAAACUUGUGUGUGCAGACAGAGCACAAAGUUGACUGUCACAAAACUUCAUUUUUGGAACUUACAAAAACUGACGGGUAUUGUCGGUGUGACGCAAGAAAUGGUUAUGCAGCGCAAUCAAAGGAAAUGUGUUUUUAUGAAAAUAAACGCUGCUUCAGGAAGAAAUGUUCUGCAGGCAACGUUCUUUCUUUGAAUUACACGUGUGUACAUGAAUGCCCCGUCGGAUUCGCACAAGAUGAAUCCGAUAUUUGCAGCACGCUGAAAAGGUACGUCUGUGCCUGUGUUGACGUUGG